rnacentral:rRNA from 1 species
UAUAUCAGUCAUGCAUAGCAUAUCAAUAAGCGGAGGAAAAGAAACUAACAAGGAUUCCCUUAGUAACGGCGAGUGAAGCGGGAAGAGCUCAAAUUUGAAAUCUUCAAGGUUCUACCUUGACGAAUUGUAGUUUAUAUAAGUGUUUUCUGUUAGUAGGAGUGGCAAAAGUUCUUUGGAAUAGGACAUCAUAGAGGGUGAGAAUCCCGUAUUUGGUCAUUCUUCCUAGCGUUGUGAUACACUUUCAACGAGUCGGAUUGUUUGGGAAUGCAGUCCAAAAUGGGUGGUAAAUUUCAUCUAAAGCUAAAUAUUGGCGAGAGACCGAUAGCGAACAAGUACCGUGAGGGAAAGAUGAAAAGAACUUUGAAAAGAGAGUUAAACAGUACGUGAAAUUGUCAAAAGGGAAGCGUUUGACACCAGUGUUGUUUUUCCGAAAAUCAAUUACGAAUGUUUUAUUUUUGAGAAGUUAUGACUUCAUCGGCUUGCUUCUCUCUUUAUGAAACUUUCUUAAUGCACUUUUCGGUUAACAAGUCAACAUCAAUUUCUUUUGUUGUAAAAGGGUAAUGAGGAAGGUGGCUUUACUUUCGGAGUAAAGUGUUUAUAGCCUUGUAGCCUCUGCAAUCGGAGAGAUUGAGGUCUGCAGCGUAGAUCCCUCGGGGUUAGAUACAGUUUGUGCUAAGUUAUAGCUUUUCAUAGACAACUUGUUGACUAUGUUUAGUCUUGUAGCUCACUCGCUGAUGCUAUUUUACCUACGCUUAGGAUGUUGAUGUGAUACUGCGAGCA